UCUGGUGGUCAUAGCGUAGAGGUCACACCUGUUCCCAUACCGAACACAGAAGUUAAGCUCUACAGCGUCGACGAUAUUGCAUUGUGAGAAAAUAGAACGCUGCCAGUU
rfam:Mesoplasma florum L1 complete genome.